rfam:Triticum aestivum genome assembly, contig: Triticum_aestivum_CS42_TGACv1_scaffold_050705_1BS
AUUCUACUCCCUCUGUUGCACAAUACAUGCCUUCUAUUUGUCAAAAUAUAUAUGUAUCUAGACAUGUUUUAGUAUAUAGGUACAUCCAUUUUUGGACAAAUGGAAGUCAAGUAUUUUGGAACGGAGGGAGUACACA